UACGUAGGGUGCGAGCGUUGUCCGGAAUUAUUGGGCGUAAAGAGCUCGUAGGCGGUUUGUCGCGUCGACUGUGAAAACUGGGGGCUUAACUCUCAGCUUGCAGUUGAUACGGGCAGACUUGAGUUCGGUAGGGGAGACUGGAAUUCCUGGUGUAGCGGUGAAAUGCGCAGAUAUCAGGAGGAACACCCGUGGCGAAGGCGGCUCACUGGGCUGACCUUGACGCUGAGGCGCGAAGGCGUGGGGAGCGAACGGG
rnacentral:rRNA from 1 species